rnacentral:rRNA from 1 species
UGGUGGAGUGAUUUGUCUGGUUAAUUCCGUUAACGAACGAGACCUUAACCUACUAAAUAGUUACGCAAACAUUUUGUUUGCGGACAACUUCUUAGAGGGACUAUUCGUGCUAGUGAAUGGAAGUUUGAGGCAAUAACA